UGUUUGAUUUCAGCCGGAGUAAUGGCUGGUUCGGAGCGAGAUGCUGAUUUUUCGAGCGGAGCGGACGAGGACGAUAUGUCGAGUCUACAUUCGCCGAGCGCCUCGGAGGAUAGCGUCGAAGUUCAGGUGACACCGAUAUCCCUGAAGAACAAAAGGAAACUCGCCGAACCCCGGAAGAUUCAAGAAUCGGCGAGCACGGCACCGCUCAAGAAGAGACGAAUCGAACGCGUGAAGGAAACUCUGAUGGUUCCGGUGAACGAAGAAUUUCGCACGACCAACUGUUCGCCGAGCCCGUUCAGACCUUGGAGCAGUUCGAACAAAAGCCAAGAUCCGACUUUGCCGCGGAGCGUAACGGAAAAGAUCGUGGUCGCUCCAUCUUCGACGGCAUCCUCCGUGCCAUCCUCCGUGCCAUCCUCCGUGCCAUCCUCCGUGCCAUCCUCCGUGCCGUCUUUCGUACCAUCCUCCAUGCCAUCGCCCGCUGUACCGACACCGCUGUCCACUGUGCCAUUAUCCACGAUAAUAUCGACCGACACCAGACAACUCGAACAGAAAGAUAUCCAAACUCGAAGGGAGUCGCAGCGAACGGAGAAUCCGUCGACUAGACAUCGCCAUUCGGCGCAAUCUCGCCUGACUCGACUCGAUAGACGCGAUUCUCCCAGUCUAAAAUCCGAACCCGUUGUAAUCUCCUCGUGCAACGUUGCGUCGAACGGCACAAACGUGGACAUGGACGCGAAUGCAGUCGCGAUCGGGCAGGUUGCAACGCCGACAUUGUUCGCGUCCACGCAUCCCAGAUUACAAGAAGAACCCUUGUCGCUCGUCCUGCGAGGAGAAAUAGCUAGUAGAGUUCCUUCUCAUCCGGCUGUAAACGGAAGCUACGAAAAACCGUACCCGGUAGACAGGGUCAAAGUUUCGUUCCCUUGUUCGUCCGCGUCUUGUUCGUCUUCCUCCUCUUCCUCCUCCUCGUCUUCCUUCUCCUCGUCCUCGUUAUCAUCGUCGUCCUCGUCGUCCUCGUCGUCGUCAUCGUCGUCGUCGUCGUCGUCGUCGUCGUCUUCGUCUUUCUCUUGCUCAACCUCGACCUCGACCUCGGUCUCGACAUCGAUAUCGACGUCGACUGCAACGACUACGUCGAUAUCGACACCGACGCCUGCAUCGGUAUUGUCUUCGUCGUCCUCGUCGUCGUCUUCGUCGCUCUCGUCAUCGGCUGUGUUACUGAAUCGUCGAGAAGACGAGCGAUCCGACAGAAACGAACGCGAUUCUUCUCCGACGGCGGCAACGAACGCGCAGACCGGUCCCUCUAAGCAACAUCCAGUCGCCGGUCAACAGAGGAAUUACAAGAACAUGACGCGCGAAAGAAGGAUAGAGGCGAACGCCAGAGAAAGGACCAGGGUGCACACGAUAAGCGCCGCGUUCGACACUCUGAGGCGCGCCAUACCGGCCUAUUCUCACAAUCAAAAAUUGUCGAAACUAUCCGUGCUGCGGAUCGCGUGCAGUUACAUAAUGACUCUCGGCAAGAUAGUCGGUACUCCGGAGGGAGAGUCGACGAACAGUGCGUCCUUGGGAGCUUGCGUGGACCUCGUAUCGAGGACUAUCCAGACCGAGGGCAAACUCAGGAAAAGGAAGGAAGACUGAAGAAGCUAGCCUACCGAAACGGGAAGUGUGCGGACCUCUUGAAUUCGUAAUGUACAAAUUGACGCGUACCACCCUUACACCGCUGUCGCAGUAACAUCCUCGAAACUCCGGGACUGCCGAUCGUCGUUGAACAGCGAUCCUUUUUCCUCCGGUUGUAUCGCCUCGCCACACACCGCUUCGCCUUACCUCGCUUCGCCUCGCCUCGCCUCGCCUAGCCUCGCUUAGCCUCGCCUCGCCUAGCCUAACCUAACCUCGCCUCGCCUCGCCUAGCCUUGCCUCGCUCCUCGUCACACGGUAUAACCUGCUCAGUCCCAACCCAACGCGCCUCGACGAAUCCAACGAUCGUACAAUCCCGUUCGAUCUAUCGAAUAGUAUAGGUAUAAAUAAGUUCGACCAAAGCGGACCGUAACGAUAAUCAAACGAACAGGGAAGGCGUCAUCGAUCUUCCUUCGCGUCAUUGACUCGCAUUCGAAUAGUUCGCAACGAGAAAACGGAAAGGUAGAUCGGACUCGGGAGGAGAGGCAGUUAAUUCGGCGAGUCACGGUUCACGAUCAACCGCCGCAUCGAGUUCUCGCGACGCUAUCGAAUACGAUGUCGCGCAAAUUUACCUUUCUAUGUACGUUGUAAGACGACUUUGGGCGCUUACGUGCUCGCAUCCGUAAAACUUGAGAUAAAUAAAUCAGGAAACGACUGAGAAACGCUGCAUGUGCUUUUAUUGGUGCCCACCGACAAACCUCUUUCGCGUUCGCGUUAAAAACCCGAUGGCUGUUUCGUCGAAUACUCGCAAUGGAAUAUACGUACAGUCGACCUUGACCCAUCUAUCGCAUCCGAUUACCAGUAAAUGUUUUCGCUAUCGAUACCACGACCUACUAGGCGAAGAUAAGGACGAGCAGACGCGACGCGCUGCGAGAAACGCGAGUCUGACGAGAAAGGACGAUUCUACUUCCUUUCUUCCCGAAUCCUCUAGCACCGAAUGGCUCGUUCCGAGAGUAUUCCCGCGGCAGGUGGCGACGAGACUUGCUCGUGGAGUGUUACCUGCUCGAAAACCGGCCUACUGCAUUUUGGUCGCGUCUCGCGUACUGCUCGGUCGACGAAACGCUAUCCCAAACACGGCCCGUGUGUAACACCGGUGUCGUUGACGCGAAAUCGGACGUACAGGGCUAGGCAAAAUAUUUGCCCGUUUAUUCUUGCAUUUAUUCUAUUGCAUUUAUUCCGUAUGCCGUCCGAUCCGAAAACUCAACGUCCCCUCUCUAUUUCCUAGCCAUCUGGACCGAUUGGUAUUCUACUUUGGCCGAUUCACGAUGGUUCCGGUCGGAGAUCGCAGAGGCGAGACCGUUGAUGUAUCCGUGGUAAAUUUCUCGUACGAGAUACGCGACGGGACGCUCUGUCGCGCGUGUUCCCGAAACGACGGAACGACGGAACGACGGAACGACGGGACGACGAACCGAGAUAAAGGAGGCUUCCGAAUGAAGAGGCACGCGCAACGAAUGAGCGCGCACAUGCAUAUAGGAAGACCACUCUCGGUCCGUUGCAUCGAGUAGAUCCGACGCGAGGAGAAAUUGCACGCGCGCACCUGCUACGUAGCGCAGGUGCAUUUACCGGUUUCAUAAGCAUCGCCAAAUUUUCGAGGGUUAUUCGUCGCGAAUAAUAAUCAGUCGAACGCUACGCGCAUCAGGUACGCGGCAAACUCGCGAGAUCGUUCCGACUCUGUCUCCUUCGGGUUUUCCACGGUACAGCGAGGGCAUUCGAAUGGCCGAUUAGAAUGCGCGCGGCAAAUAUAAUUGAUCGAAUAAUCGGGAAAUUGGUGUGGAGCGGUGCAACCGUGAAGCGGCAGUUAACGAGAGACAGACUCGUAUACGUCCAUGUACAACGUCUGGUGGGAGGUUGCCAGAACGUUGGCGCCAGUUGACCGUCGCCGGCCGCCCGCCGGCCGUCCCGCCGGCCGUCGGUCGCCAGCCGCCAACCGCCAGCCGCUAACCGCCAACCUCUGCUACGUCGGACGACCUACGCGAAUGCAUACGCACCGCCUCGAGUUUACUGGUACUCGCGUACCACUACCUACGUAGAUAUAUUCGUGGUAUCUUCCCGACGACUCGUUUCGAUUUUACUUCCCCUUCCGUUUCCCUUUCUUUCCUCCUCUCUUCUCUUCUUUCCUCAUCUUUACCUUUGCUUCUACUCGGCAAAUCUCACUCUACCCGCUCUCCGAUAGCAAUGACGUUCAUAUACGUCCGACAACGAACAAAGACGGAAAUUCCAAAGAGCGAGCGCACGAUGGUAUCGUUCCGUAUAAUUGACAGACUCGCGACAAAAAUUCGACACAGAGAAAGAGAGAGAGAGAGAGAUAGAGAGAGAGAGAGGAGCGAGCAAACUAGCGCCGAGGGUAAGAGGGUAAGAGGGUAAGAGCGGAAAACAGGAAAGCGCAAAGAGGAGAUAGAGGAAUGACUGAGAAAAACGAUACCGUUCUACCGUGCGAAUCGUCGGCAACUACCUCGCCAUCUACCUCCCUGUUUUUCCCCCCUAGAUGUAGGCAUGCAGCGGGUACGACAGUUACAGUGUGUACGCGUUUUCUCCGUCCGAGUAUGUGUUCGUGUAGUCGGUGCGAGAGCGAUUCUGUAUAUAGGAUGCGACAGUGUGGCGCCAACCUCUCGCAUACGAGCCAGUUUCCUCCGGUGUUUCGCGACGGUACGGCCAGACCAUUGUACAGGGUGGUCGACAAAUGCGGAUCGCAUCGGCCGCGAGACCGUUCGACCAGAUUCGCGCCACCGAAAUCCCGAAAAGAACGCAUUCUUCGAUCGAUUGUUUUAUUUGCAUUCGCCGCGUGUUUGCACGGUGUAAGCUGUUGUCGCCGAUGGGCCACGAUAACGUAAUCCUAAAAUACAGCGCUCCGAUUCUAUCGGCGAUGGGAAGCUUUAUAUAUGGGAAGCUAUAGUAGGACAUACUAUACUUUUUCUCGCGUACAAGAACAACCUACAAGUAUAUUUACCUACUUGAGUUACGCGAUCCACGCAACGCGACUUCUCGCCGAUUAGAAUUGCUUCUCCUUCGACGGUUUCUUCGAAAACACCUGUAAUCCCAUCCGAAUCGACUUCUCGCUGCAACGGCAUGACUUUGUAUCCUGUAACGAUAUCAUCGUGGCAAUCCUCUAUCGUAACGUUUUCGAUCACUUGUGAAUAUUUAAAUAUCGAAACGUUUAAAUAUUUAAAUUUCUAUUCAACGUCCAUUUAAUUGGCAACCGAUUAAUCGGCUCGCGGCGUAAUCUACCGCGAAAUACCCUAACCAGCGGGCACACGAUUGAUGUCGAGCCUGCGUCGCGUUAGAUGGCGCUGCGAAUCCGUUUAAACGUAAUGCGUCAUUUGAAAAAAAUGCGAAAUCUUGUUUAAAGACGGUAUCCGAGAGACUUUAGUAAAUAAUAACACGCGGUAGAGAUACAAUCCGAAGUUUAUCCAAGCCCGACUUCUGCGUACCUGUUUGUUACGUUACGUGAUUGUAUGUCACGCAAAGUUGUUCGAUCCUUGUCUUAGGGCGUACGCUAAUUGUAAGAAAUAAACUUUAAGAAACCAAAGCUUUUACCAACGAUUCAUUUUAACGCCGAUACCUGCACCGAUGUCGUUCGACAACGACCGCUACUUUACGUCGCUUUAGCCUAUCGACAAGGAAGAACCUGCCAAUUCGUUCGAUUGUUCGUAUUUGCCCUGAUCUUUCGGUUGGUAAGCAUUUCGUUUCGUGUCCCUUAUCCGAUAAGGGAUUAUUGAAUUUCAUCGAAUAAUAAUUAUUAUAUUCAUAUAAACUUUGCACUUACAUUUGUUAGAAUCUUGAUCGUAUUAUUCUUGUCUUUUGCCUCACUAUUUCAUUAGUACAUUUCAUACGAACCUAAAGUCAGCCGGUUAACCGAUCAAUCGAUACUUGAGAUGAUAAAACUAUCGCUUCCGGAUACCAUCGUGCCACCUAGCGCGAAAAGCAUGGUACUAUUCGCUAAUAGUGCAUCUUACUUAUCUCAAGUUAGUGCUAGUGCUUGGACGUGUCGCGUCGUAAAAAAUAACAGUUCCGGCGAUGUCAAAGUUAAGAGAAACCUCGAAUAAAUAAAAUCGUUAAUGCGUAAUGUGGAUUCAAGUAAAUCCCCAUACGAUUGUUGCGUGAGAGUGGCGCAGGUAAUUGUUCGGACCGCCGACUAUAUUCGCAUGUUUACAGUAGUAAACGGUCUUACGCGGAGAUCCCUAACCUCUCGACAUUUUUUUCAAAAUAAUUCAAAUAAAGUACGGUUUCCGUUGUUGUGCCAUGCAAAAUGAGCAGAAUCACGACGAAGCAACGAGUCGAAUUCUGUCCAAGAGAAAUUUUUGACGCAACCGCGUAUCAAGAAAAGAAAGGGCAAGGUUACAAGCUUGUCGCAGCCUGUUCCAAGUACUAGUUCCAACAAUGAUUCGACGCAUGCCGCGUACGG